rnacentral:rRNA from 1 species
CACGUAGUUAGCCGGGGCUUCUUACUCAGGUACCGUCAUCUUCUUCCCUGCUGAUAGAGCUUUACAUACCGAAAUACUUCUUCACUCACGCGGCGUUGCUGCAUCAGGGUUUCCCCCAUUGUGCAAUAUUCUCCACUGCUGCCUCCCGUAGGAGUUUGGGCCGUGUCUCAGUCCCAAUGUGGCCGGUCACCCUCUCAGGUCGGCUACUGAUCGUCGCCUUGGUGGGCCGUUACCCCUCCAACUAGCUAAUCAGACGCGGGUCCAUCUCAUACCACCGGAGUUUUUCACACAAGAACAUGCAUCCUCGUGCGCUUAUGCGGUAUUAGCAGUCAUUUCUAACUGUUAUCCCCCUGUAUGAGGCAGGUUACCCACGCGUUACUCACCCGUCCGCCACUCAGUCAAUCUAGCUUCCAUCCGAAAACUUCCGACUAAAUCGCUUCGUUCGACUUGCAUGUGUUAAGCACGCCGCCAGCGUCACUCGUGACGCCAGGACUACUAAA